AGUUCCUCCGGCGCCGAGCAAGAAAAAGCGCGGGAAGAAGGUUCCCCCGGCGACGGCCGGCCCACCGACCUACAUAGCGCGUCUUUCGCCGGCCUGCUCGUUAUAAGAAACCAGUCUGCCGGUUGCGUCGGCGUACUCGAGCGAACACCACUGCCAACUCCUCCUCGUCCAUCUUCAGCGUCGACGUCCAUCCCGGCUUAGCGGACGAGUAGCGCGGCGCGUCGGCACUCGAGCCACAGGUGCCGCAAUUCGGUCAAGCGGGAGGCGAGCUUCCUCGGACACCGUGCGGUGACGACCGUCCCAAAGCCAGCGAGGUGAACGGAGAGGAGGAGCAGGAAAGAGAGUGUCGUCGGGCGGCCGGCUUUCCCAAGGCGAUCGCCAUGGGCCAUCAUGCCGCCGGGGUCACAGGCCUCGUGAUCCUGUUCUUGGUGCUAACCAACAGUCCUGCUGCCCAAGGGGAA